GUCUUUUUGGAAUUUAUAAAAAGUCUAACCUGCCCAUUGAAAAUUUUAAAAGGCUGCAGUAUUUUGACUGUACAAAGGUAGCAUAAUCAUUAGUUUUUUAAUUGAAAACUAGAAUGAAAGGUUGAAUGAAAAAUUAACUAUUUUAAAAUUAAAAUUGAAUUUUAUUUUUUAAUUAAAAAGUUAAAAUUUAAUUAAAAGACGAGAAGACCCUAUAGAGUUUUACAAUUUAAAUUUAUUUUUUGAAAAGAAUUUUUUAAAUAAGUAUUUAAAAUUAAUUUUAUAAAUUGUUUUAUUGGGGUGAUAAUAAAAUUUUAUAAACUUUUAUUAAUAUUUUUUACAUAAAUAAAUGAUUAAUUGAUCCAUUAUUAAUGAUUAAAAAAUUAAAUUACCUUAGGGAUAACAGCAUAAUUUUUUUUUAAGUUCAUAUUAAUAAAAAAGAUUGUGACCUCGAUGUUGGAUUAAGAUUUAAUUUUAGGUGCAGAAGUUUAAAAUUUAAGUCUGUUCGACUUUUAAAUUCUUAC
rnacentral:rRNA from 1 species